GUUGUACUCCCCAUGGAGUGAUGAUAGAGGGAUGUGAAAGAGGAGAGAGGUAAUGGUUGUACUCCCCCAUGGAGUGAUGAUAGAGGGAUGUGAAAGAGGAGAGAGGUAAUGGUUGUACUCCCCCAUGGAGUGAUGAUAGAGGGUAAUGGACCCUGGAUUCAAAUACUGUUUGAAAUCUUACAAAUACUUUGAACAUUUCCUUUAGUCCUCCAGGCGGGCGGGUUUGUUUGUACUUUUAGGACUUUUCUAUUGGUUCCAUUACAACAAACUCAAUCAAACACUGCUUAUUAAAUAUUCAACAUUAUUUUAACGCAGGUCUGUUUCCACCUGCAAUCAGCCUGUAACGUCUUGUAUGAUCUCAUCAGGUAAAGGUGUGUCAAAUAGAAAGGCAAGUCUCACCACUGAGAGGAAAACAUCACUGGUCCACCUCUGCAUCAGGUCAGCUAUGUUGAUCAGUACUGUCCCAGGGAUGCUGGGAGCAGAGAUGAACUCCCCUGACCUGGUACCACCUAUGGAGUUGUCAUUUUAAUAUCAGUUUAACCCCAUUGCUGCUAUAACACAUAAACCAUGUUAAUAGAAUGAAAUGGAUCCAGGUUCCAUUUAUUCUACAUUAGAUUUACUGCCUGUGGAACACUUCUCCAAAGUGUCUGAAAUCAAGAUGACUGCAGGUCUGAAUCCCAAACUAAUGGGGGGAAAUGGAUCCAUCUAAUAAGAUGGUAUUUAGAGAAUAAUAGUGAGGACAUCAACACUAUUAAAUAACACACGUGGAAUCAUGUAGUAACCCAAAACGUGUUCAACAAAUCAAGUGGGGGCCAGGUCAUCUGAUGCAGCACUCCAUCACUCUCCUUCUUGGUCAAAUAGCCCUUACACAGCCUGGAGGGGUGUUGGGUCAUUGUCCUGCUGAAAAACAAAUGAUAGUCCCACUAAGCACAAACCAGAUGGGAUGGCGUAUCACUGCAGAAUGCUGUGGUUGCUAUGCUGGUUAAGUGUGCCUUGAAUUCUAAAUAAAUCACUGACAGUGUCACCAGCAAA